rnacentral:rRNA from 1 species
UACAGAGGGUGCGAGCGUUAAUCGGAAUUACUGGGCGUAAAGCGUGCGUAGACGGUAGCGUAAGUCAGAUGUGAAAGCCCCGGGCUCAACCUGGGAAUGGCAUUUGAGACUGCGUAGCUAGGGUGCGGAAGAGGGAAGCGGAAUUCCCGGUGUAGCGGUGAAAUGCGUAGAGAUCGGGAGGAACAUCAGUGGCGAAGGCGGCCAUCUGGGACAACACUGACGCUGAGGCACGAAAGCGUGGGGAGCAACAGGAU